UACGGAGGGGGCAAGCGUUGUUCGGAAUUACUGGGCGUAAAGGGCGCGCAGGCGGCUGCUCAAGUCAGGCGUGAAAGGCCUGGGCUCAACCCGGGAAUUGCGCUUGAGAUUGGGCUGGCUUGAGUGCGGGAGAGGAUGGUGGAAUUCCCAGUGUAGAGGUGAAAUUCGUAGAUAUUGGGAAGAACACCGGUGGCGAAGGCGGCCAUCUGGACCGCAACUGACGCUGAGGCGCGAAAGCGUGGGGAGCAAACAGG
rnacentral:rRNA from 1 species